rnacentral:rRNA from 1 species
GAUGAACGCUGACAGAAUGCUUAACACAUGCAAGUCCACUUGAAUUUGGGUUUUUAACUUAGGUUUGGGUGGCGGACGGGUGAGUAACGCGUAAAGAACUUGCCUCACAGCUAGGGACAACAUUUGGAAACGAAUGCUAAUACCUAAUAUUAUGAUAAUAGGGCAUCCUAUAAUUAUGAAAGCUAUAAGCGCUGUGAGAGAGCUUUGCGUCCCAUUAGCUAGUUGGAGAGGUAACGGCUCACCAAGGCGAGGAUGGGUAGCCGGCCGGAGAGGGUGAUCGGCCACAAGGGGACUGAGACACGGCCCUUACUCCUACGGGAGGCAGCAGUGGGGAAUAUUGGACAAUGGACCGAGAGUCUGAUCCAGCAAUUCUGUGUGCACGAUGAAGUUUUUCGGAAUGUAAAGUGCUUUCAGUUGGGAAGAAACAAAUGACGGUACCAACAGAAGAAGUGACGGCUAAAUACGUG